UACGUAGGGUGCAAGCGUUGUCCGGAAUUAUUGGGCGUAAAGAGCUCGUAGGCGGUCUGUCGCGUCGGAUGUGAAAACCCAGGGCUCAACCCUGGGCCUGCAUUCGAUACGGGCAGACUAGAGUUCGGUAGGGGAGACUGGAAUUCCUGGUGUAGCGAUGAAAUGCGCAGAUAUCAGGAGGAACACCGGUGGCGAGGGCGGGUCUCUGGGCCGAAACUGACGCUGAGGAGCGAAAGCGUGGGGAGCAAACAGG
rnacentral:rRNA from 1 species